UACGUAGGGUGCAAGCGUUAAUCGGAAUUACUGGGCGUAAAGCGUGCGCAGGCGGUUAUGCAAGACAGAGGUGAAAUCCCCGGGCUCAACCUGGGAACUGCCUUUGUGACUGCAUAGCUAGAGUACGGUAGAGGGGGAUGGAAUUCCGCGUGUAGCAGUGAAAUGCGUAGAUAUCAAGAGGAACACCUGAGGUGAAGACGGGUUGCUGGGCCGACACUGACGCUGAGUGCGCGAAAGCCAGGGGAGCAAACGGG
rnacentral:rRNA from 1 species